AGCGAACGCUGGCGGCAGGCUUAACACAUGCAAGUCGAACGCUCGUAGCAAUACGAGAGUGGCAGACGGGAGAGUAACACGUGGGAACGUGCCCUUUGGUUCGGAACAACCCAGGGAAACUUGGGCUAAUACCGGAUAAGUCCGUAAGGAGAAAGAUUUAUCGCCAAAGGAUCGGCCCGCGUCUGAUUAGCUAGUUGGUGAGGUAACGGCUCACCAAGGCGACGAUCAGUAGCUGGCUGAGAGGAUGAUCAGCCUCAUUGGGACUGAGACACGGCCCAAACUCCUACGGGAGGCAGCAGUGGGGAAUCUUGGACAAUGGGCGCAAGCCUGAUCCAGCCAUGCCGCGUGGGUGAUGAAGGCCCUAGGGUUGUAAAGCCCUUUCGGCGGGGAAGAUAAUGACGGUACCCGCAGAAGAAGCCCCGGCUAACUUCGUGCCAGCAGCCGCGGU
rnacentral:rRNA from 1 species